AGCCCACGUUCACUAUUGAACACAACGGAAGGGGGAAUUAUUGUGCUUCUUGCUUUGAUUCCCAAGCUGGUGUUGUCUGAGCCUGUCUGGCAUGUGCUCUGCCUGCCCUGACUUCUGACCCCAGGAGGAGCAUUCAAGGAGCCAAGGAAUGGGUCCAGGCAUUGUGCUAGUAUCUAGCCAUGGCAAGAUGCUAGAUCUAACCAUGACGAGAGCAGCUAAGAUCGGACUGUACCUGAGUGAGCCCAUUGAAUCCUCCACCAGCACCACACGGGGUUUCUAUUGUUUGUCUCAGCUGCAGCAACAUAAUAUGAGACAAGGGCCAAGAACUGCAGAACUGUGCACGGUGUUUAGAAGAGGCUGCGAGCUGCUGCUCUGCAGAGUUGGGAGGUGCUUUCGGGCUCUGCAGGCUCCCUGCAGGCCCUUGCUGACUGUCCAUGGCCUGCACCUGCCCUACCUGCUGAGCUGCCCCAUCAGCUGCUCCUGGCUGUGGUUUCCUGAGGGGUCCCGUCUGCAUCGGCUGCCCUGUGUCCUGACACUAUGGUGGGUUUGCAAGUGGCAAAGUCCAGGGAAGGAGACUGGGGAGCAUGGCCAUGGGUCAUCCGGGGGGCACGGAGGGUUCCGGCUCCCGCCCAGGUCCACCUGCUUCAUCAGCAGUGGUCACCAAGAUUGCAUAACCAGGACGAUGACAACGCUGAGAGCUCUGUUGCAGUUAAAGACUUAAGAACAACUUGUGCCUGCUGACUAAUACAUUUUAUCACCCAGGCAGCGUCAGGACUCUGAGAGCCUCUCACAUGCUGCUGUCAUCUGAGCGAGACCUCAAGAUUUGUCAUCGAGCAGGCUGACCCUUGCCUGAAUGGACCUCACAUUCUUGAGGCAGGGAGAGAUCUGCAAUCAGCAUGAUCGAUCAGCGAUUUUCAUAAGACGUUAGAAGUCAUCAGAGCUUAGGAAACAGGGUGAGGAAGUAGGGGAGGAGCCGGAAGGGCCCCCAUUUAAAACAAGGUGGCCAGGAUAGGCCUCUCUGUAGGGGUGACAUUGAAGAAAUGGUGGGAGAGGGUGUGAGGUGCACAUCUCUGAGGGCAGAGUGUUCUGGAGACAGGAAACCAUCUGUGCAAAGGCCCUGUGGUGAGAGGGUGCUAGGAGCUAGCAAGCCCAGUCUACUCAACACAGCCAUCAUUUUAAAACCUCGGUGAGCCCUGUCCCUUAUCUUCUGAACCCCCUCCCACAGAAGCGGAUGUCACUGAGAGUGAAAGCUGCAGUGUAGGGUGGCCUCCUCUGCACACCGGCCCUGGCCCUCUGACCUCUUCUACCCCAUGAUGGUCCCCUGUCAGCUGGGUCUAGAGUGGACCGUCGGGGCAGACCUGGAAGGGGAAGGCUGUCAAGUUCCUGCUCCCCUGUGACAUACAGCAACACAUUUGUUUCCCCCUGGAUUCUGGGGAUCAGCAACAUGUGCGGGUGGGGGCAGGGCAGUCCUGCUGCUCUGGGAUGGGCUGCCCCCUCAGGGAGGACUGGCCAGCUGGGUGGCUCUGCUCCUGGAGAGUGACCGGCCAUUUGCUGGGUGGAUGGGGUGACUGUCCUGAGAGCUUGGCACCACCAGAAGUGUAGUCCACGCAGCCCUUCACAGGUGGCUCAGGGUGCCCAGCGGGGCAAGAGGUGGCCCUCAAGCUAAGCUUGAGCUUAAGCCUAAGCCUAAGCUUGCCACGCUUGGGCUAGGAUGCCAAGUCUCCAUGCUGGCUGCUGGUCACAGCUCUGUCCCUGUGGGAGAAGACGACUGAAGCCUGGCCAGGCUGGGCCAUCUCCCCAGCAGCCACCAGGGCUUGCUGUGAGAUGUGGGAGCCAUGCUAGGGUCCUGCCCCGGGGAUGUUGGUAGGCAUGGUGGGAAGCAGUGCAAUUAUGGAUAUUUUCUGGAGAUAAUCAUCAACAGGAUUUGCUGAUGGAAUGGACCUGGAAUACAAGAAGAAAAGGAAUCAAGGAUGGCUCUGAGGUUCGGGGCUUGAGCAACUUGGAUGGGGGUGCUGCUGAGUCAGGUGGGAGGGGAGCAGGCUCAGGGGAUGCGGACUCCAUUUGAAGUGGCCGCGUUGGAGAUGUCUGUGGACAUCCACGUGAAAUGCUGAGUGGCCAGCUGGACAUGUGGAUCUGGUGUCCAGGGGGAAGUUUGGGCUGCAGAUACAGAUUUCACCAGGACAUAUUUUUAGUGAUGCAUAGACUGACCAGGCUCGAAAGAAGCACAGGGUGUGCAGCCCCAUUCUGGUAAGCGUGUCUCUGCCUUUACUGAGGUGUCUCCACUGCAUCCUUGAUUUAAUGGAAUUCAACUGAACCAUCAUUGAGCAUCUGUUGUAUACGAUGUACUCUGGAGGCAUAAAAACUAUUGGGAGAAAUGAGGAAGUAAAUAAGUAAUAUUGAUAUAAUUCUUCUAUUAAUAAGAAUCAAUUUAUCUGAAAACAAAAAGUCUCUUAAGCAUUUGAAUAAAAUAGAAAGCCUUUAUUAACAUAUGAAAAUAAAUCCAUACCCAUAAAUAAAAAUCUGCACACUCACGGGUGCUGACCAGUAUAUCCUAGCUCACCAGCACAGUGGGCUGGGUGUGGAGAAGGUGGGCAUUCAGCUUUCACAUCAGGCAGAGGGAGCCUUGGAGCGGAGGGUGCUGGCUCAGGACUGCUGGCCAAGCCCAUGGUGGAGUCAGGCCGGCCUGCAGUUGGACACUCUUGACUGAUUAAACAUUAAUAGGCAAUUCUAACAAAAACAGAGAGGAUGGCAACUCCAUAGGAAGGAGGGCCACAUGUGGGGGUGAAUUCCAAGUCAAACAUUUUCCCCAAAGAAUUUGUUGUUAAACUUUUAAUUUUGAGAUAACUGAAGAUUCACAUGUAGUGGUCAGAUAUAAUAUAGCAUGAUCUUCUGUGCCUUUUACCCAGUUUUCUCCGUCAUAACAUCUGCAAACGUAGCACUAUAUUACAGUAUCUCAACCAGUGUAUAAAUGCAUACACUCACCAGUGUCACUGGGGUUCCUCCAGUCUCAGUUCAUUUGUGUGCAUUUAUUUUCCGUAACUGUAUCACUGCUGUAGAGUAGGAUGGCCACCUUGACAGUCAAGAGGCAGAACAGCUCCACACGAGGGUUCCUGUCUUCCUUGCUCCUGGAACCAUUAAUCUGCUCUCCGUCUCUAUAAUUUUAUCCUUUGAGACUGUUACAUAAACAAAACCACACAGUAACCUCACAAGGCAUUUUUGCACUCAGUAAAAUGCCCUUGAGACCCAUUCACGUUGCUGUGUGUAUCAGAGCCCGUUCCUUUCCAUAGCUGAGCCGUGUUCCUGGUGUGGACACACCACUGUUUAAUCAGUCAUCGUCGAAGGACGGCUGCCUUGUCCCCCAUUUUCGACCAUUACAAAUGAAGCUUCCAUGAGCAUUCAUGUACAAGUUUCUUUGUGAACUUAAGCUUUCAAGAAAUUAAAAAAGAAAUGUUUUCAAAUGCUUGAGCAAAUAGCCAAGAUCCCAGGGCACCGUGGGAAAGUGUGGAAGUGAGGAUUUUUUUUUUUUUUUUGAGAUGGAGCCUUGCUCUG
rnacentral:lncRNA from 1 species